CAAUCUGCCCUAAAGACUGGGAUACCACUUGGAAACAGGUGCUAAUACCGGAUAACAACAUGAAUCGCAUGAUUCAAGUUUGAAAGGCGGCGCAAGCUGUCACUUUAGGAUGAGCCCGCGGCGCAUUAGCUAGUUGGUGGGGUAAAGGCCUACCAAGGCAAUGAUGCGUAGCCGAGUUGAGAGACUGAUGGCCACAUUGGGACUGAGACACGGCCCAAACUCCUACGGGAGGCAGCAGC
rnacentral:rRNA from 1 species